GACUCUCGGCAACGGAUAUCUCGGCUCUCGCAUCGAUGAAGAACGUAGCGAAAUGCGAUACCUGGUGUGAAUUGCAGAAUCCCGCGAACCAUCGAGUCUUUGAACGCAAGUUGCGCCCGAGUCCACUCGGCCGAGGGCACGCCUGCCUGGGCGUCA
rnacentral:rRNA from 1 species